rfam:Pteropus alecto contig16615, whole genome shotgun sequence.
GUCUACGGCCAUGCUACCCUGAACAAGCCCGAUCCCAUUGGAUCUCGGAAGCUAAGCAGGGUCUGGCCUGGUUAGUACCUGGAUGGGAGACCACCUAGGAAGACCAGGUGCUGCAGCCA